GACGAACGCUGGCGGCGCGCCUAACACAUGCAAGUCGAACGAGAGAUGAGGAGCUUGCUCUUCAAAUCGAGUGGCGAACGGGUGAGUAACGCGUGAGGAACCUGCCUCAAAGAGGGGGACAACAGUUGGAAACGACUGCUAAUACCGCAUAAGCCCACGGCUCGGCAUCGAGCAGAGGGAAAAGGAGCAAUCCGCUUUGAGAUGGCCUCGCGUCCGAUUAGCUAGUUGGUGAGGUAACGGCCCACCAAGGCGACGAUCGGUAGCCGGACUGAGAGGUUGAACGGCCACAUUGGGACUGAGACACGGCCCAGACUCCUACGGGAGGCAGCAGUGGGGAAUACUGCACAAUGGGGGAAACCCUGAUGCAGCGACGCCGCGUGGAGGAAGAAGGUCUUCGGAUUGUAAACUCCUGUUGUUGAGGAAGAUAAUGACGGUACUCAACAAGGAAGUGACGGCUAACUACGUGCCAGCAGCCGCGGUAAAACGUAGGUCACAAGCGUUGUCCGGAAUUACUGGGUGUAAAGGGAGCGCAGGCGGGAGAACAAGUUGGAAGUGAAAUCCAUGGGCUCAACCCAUGAACUGCUUUCAAAACUGUUUUUCUUGAGUAGUGCAGAGGUAGGCGGAAUUCCCGGUGUAGCGGUGGAAUGCGUAGAUAUCGGGAGGAACACCAGUGGCGAAGGCGGCCUACUGGGCACCAACUGACGCUGAGGCUCGAAAGUGUGGGUAGCAAACAGGAUUAGAUACCCUGGUAGUCCACACCGUAAACGAUGAUUACUAGGUGUUGGAGGAUUGACCCCUUCAGUGCCGCAGUUAACACAAUAAGUAAUCCACCUGGGGAGUACGACCGCAAGGUUGAAACUCAAAGGAAUUGACGGGGGCCCGCACAAGCAGUGGAGUAUGUGGUUUAAUUCGACGCAACGCGAAGAACCUUACCAAGUCUUGACAUCCUGCGACGCACAUAGAAAUAUGUGUUUCCUUCGGGACGCAGAGACAGGUGGUGCAUGGUUGUCGUCAGCUCGUGUCGUGAGAUGUUGGGUUAAGUCCCGCAACGAGCGCAACCCUUAUGGUCAGUUACUACGCAAGAGGACUCUGGCCAGACUGCCGUUGACAAAACGGAGGAAGGUGGGGAUGACGUCAAAUCAUCAUGCCCUUUAUGACUUGGGCUACACACGUACUACAAUGGCGUUAAACAAAGAGAAGCAAGACCGCGAGGUGGAGCAAAACUCAGAAACAACGUCCUAGUUCGGACUGCAGGCUGCAACUCGCCUGCACGAAGUCGGAAUUGCUAGUAAUCGUGGAUCAGCAUGCCACGGUGAAUACGUUCCCGGGCCUUGUAC
rnacentral:rRNA from 1 species